AACGAACGCUGGCGGCAUGCCUAACACAUGCAAGUCGAACGAGACCUUCGGGUCUAGUGGCGCACGGGUGCGUAACGCGUGGGAACCUGCCCUUAGGUUCGGAAUAACUCCCCGAAAGGGGUGCUAAUACCGGAUAAUGUCUUCGGACCAAAGAUUUAUCGCCUUUGGAUGGGCCCGCGUUGGAUUAGCUAGUUGGUAGGGUAAAAGCCUACCACGGCGACGAUCCAUAGCUGGUCUGAGAGGAUGAUCAGCCACACUGGGACUGAGACACGGCCCAGACUCCUGCGGGAGGCAGCAGUGGGGAAUAUUGGACAAUGGGCGAAAGCCUGAUCCAGCAAUGCCGCGUGAGUGAUGAAGGCCUUAGGGUUGUAAAGCUCUUUUACCCGGGAUGAUAAUGACAGUACCGGGAGAAUAAGCUCCGGCCAACUCCGUG
rnacentral:rRNA from 1 species